rnacentral:rRNA from 1 species
UGUUGUUGUGUAAAAUACCCUAAAGAUACCAGAUCCCAUAUGAUCUUGGAAGCUAAGCAGGGACAGCUACGGUAAGUACUUAAAUGGGAAACCCCCGAUGAAUGCCAGUUGCUGCAGGCU